rnacentral:rRNA from 1 species
UACGUAGGCAGCGAGCGUUGUUCGGAGUUACUGGGCGUAAAGAGUGCGCAGGCGGUUUUCUAAGUUUGGUGUGAAAUCUCCCGGCUCAACUGGGAGGGUGCGCCGAAGACUGGAAGGCUAGAGUAUGGGAGAGGUAAGCGGAAUUCCUGGUGUAGCGGUGAAAUGCGUAGAUAUCAGGAGGAACACCUGCGGUGUAGACGGCUUACUGGACCAUCACUGACGCUGAGGCACGAAAGCGUGGGUAGCAAACAGG